rnacentral:rRNA from 1 species
UUACCCCCCGGGGAAAAACUACAUAUCAAUAAGCGGAGGAAAAGAAACCAACAGGGAUUGCCUCAGUAACGGCGAGUGAAGCGGCAAAAGCUCAAAUUUUAAAGCUGGCACCUUUGGUGUCCGCGUUGUAAUUUUGUGAGGCAUCUCCGGGUAGGGCGCCGGCCUAAGUUCCUUGGAACAGGACGUCAUAGAGGGUGAGAAUCCCGUGCUUGGCUGGCUGUCCCCGCCCAUGUGAGGUGUCUUCGACGAGUCGAGUUGUUUGGGAAUGCAGCUCAAAAUGGGUGGUAAAUUUCAUCUAAAGCUAAAUAUUGGUGGGAGACCGAUAGCGCACAAGUAGAGUGAUCGAAAGAUGAAAAGCACUUUGAAAAUAGAGUUAAAAAGUACGUGAAAUUGUUGAAAGGGAAGCGCUUGGGACCAGACUUCGGUGGGGAGUGAUCAGCUGUUCUUCUGGGCGGUGCACUUGCUCUCCUCCGGGCCAGCAUCGGUUGGGACGGCGGGAUAAAGGCCUUGGGAAUGUGGCUCCUCUCGGGGAGUGUUAUAGCCCGGGUUAAUGCCGCCAGCCCCGACCGAGGACCGCGCCUUCGGGCUAGGAUGCUUGGCAUAAUGGUCUUCAGCGACCCGUCUUGAAACACGGACCAAGGAGUCUAACAUCUAUGCGAGUGUUUGGGUGUCAAACCCUUACGCGAAAUGAAAGUGAACGGAGGUGGGAACCCGCAAGGGUGCACCAUCGACCGGUCCCGAAGUCUUCUGAAGGAUCUGAGUAGGAGCAUAGCUGUUGGGACCCGAAAGAUGGUGAACUAUGCCUGAAUAGGGUGAAGCCAGAGGAAACUCUGGUGGAGGCUCGCAGCGGUUCUGACGUGCAAAUCGAUCGUCAAAUUUGGGUAUAGGGGCGAAAGACUAAUCGAACCUUCUAUGUG